CCUACGGAGGCAGCAGUGGGGAAUAUUGGACAAUGGGCGAAAGCCUGAUCCAGCAAUGCCGCGUGAGUGAUGAAGGCCCUAGGGUUGUAAAGCUCUUUUACCCGGGACGAUAAUGACUGUACCGGGAGAAUAAGCCCCGGCUAACUCCGUGCCAGCAGCCGCGGUAAUA
rnacentral:rRNA from 1 species